AAGAAUAUCCUCAGGAUGCAUGUUAAAAAAGUUAAUUGCACAGAAUGGGAGCAGAUACCUGUUCCUAAAAGUGUAAGAGCAAUUGUUGCUUUAAAUCUUCACAAUUAUGGGAGUGGAAGAAAUCCAUGGGGUAGUCCUAAACGACAGUAUUUGGAAAAGGUAUCACACAUCUGUCCUCCGAGUCUAUUUUUAACACCAGUCAAUUUUGCUCUUGUAACCCCUUAAUAAUUCCUCCUCUCUAGUUGUUUACAACAAAGAAUGUAUUUUAGAAGAUUCCACUAACAAGGGGUGACUAAAAGAGGAAAAAAUAGGUUUCAAGUUUGAGGAAGAGAAAAAAAAAGGAGAGAAGUUUUGCCCCCCCUGAAAAUCUUUCCCUUCCUCUCGUAGGUUAAAAUUUACCCCCUAAUUUGCACCAUGUGAGAAGUAAUUUAUAACCCCUUAAUAAUUCCUCCUCUCUAGUUGUUUACAACAAACAGCUAUAAUUUGCAUUUUGGGUUGCUUUGGUUUAGGUUUGUAUCCUUUAAGGAGGUGGCAUUUCCUCAGGGUUGAAAUCACUGCAAACGUGGUGUAAAUUUGUACUUUUAUUUAUGGAUAACAGUGCUAGUACAUUUGCUGUAAUUUGCAUGCCAUUGUAAGACCUGCAACGACAUCUAAAUCAUCAAGUUGCUCAGCAACUCAGUCAAAUUCUACUUGAAAUUAUUUACUUCCAUCUAA